GGGAGUGUCGCCUAAUGGAUAAGGCAACCGUCUUCUAAACGGUUCCAUGCAGGUUCAAAUCCUGCCAUUCCUG
rnacentral:tRNA from 3 species